AACGAACGCUGGCGGCAGGCUUAACACAUGCAAGUCGAGCGCCCCGCAAGGGGAGCGGCAGACGGGUGAGUAACGCGUGGGAAUCUACCCAUCUCUACGGAAUAACGCACGGAAACGUGUGCUAAUACCGUAUACGUCCUUCGGGAGAAAGAUUUAUCGGAGAUGGAUGAGCCCGCGUUGGAUUAGCUAGCUGGUGGGGUAAAGGCCUACCAAGGCGACGAUCCAUAGCUGGUCUGAGAGGAUGAGCAGCCACACUGGGACUGAGACACGGCCCAGACUCCUACGGGAGGCAGCAGUGGGGAAUAUUGGACAAUGGGCGCAAGCCUGAUCCAGCCAUGCCGCGUGAGUGAUGAAGGCCCUAGGGUUGUAAAGCUCUUUCACCGGUGAAGAUAAUGACGGUAACCGGAGAAGAAGCCCCGGCUAACUUCGUGCCAGCCGCCGCAGUAACAC
rnacentral:rRNA from 1 species